AUGGCGAUCGGCGGGAUCAUCGGCGGCCACCACCGGCACUCCGUGGUGGCGUCGCGCGUGGCCAUGUUCGCCCACCUGCUCUUCCUCACCACCGCCGUGCUCAUGCUCGUCUGGCUCCUGCGCUUCCGCGGCGGCAUCAACAUCCAGUCCGACGACCCCGAGCAGAUCUUCAACGUCCAUCCCUUUGUGAUGACAUGGGGGUUCAUUCUUCUCAUCGGUGAAGCCAUACUGGUGUACACGACGAUCCCGAUGAACCACCGGGCGCAGAAGAUGGUGCACAUGCUGGUGCACCUGGUGGCCUUCGUCCUCGGCGUCUUCGGCAUCUACGCGGCCUUCAAGUUCCACAACGUGGCCGUGGUGCCGGACCUUGUGAGCCUCCACUCCUGGAUCGGCAUCGGCGCCAUCUCCCUCUUCGCGCUGCAGUGGCUCAUCGGCUUCGCCGUCUUCUGGAUGCCCGGCACGCACGAGCACACGCGCGCCGCCGCGGCCCCCGUGCACGUCGCCGGCGGGCUCGUCAUCUUCCUCCUCGGCGUCUGCGCCGCGCAGACGGGGCUCGUCCAGAAGAGCGCCAGCGCCACGCCCGGCACCGAGGCCAGGCUCAUCAACGUCACCGGCCUCUUCAUCGUCUUCUACGGGGUCACCGUCGCGGCCACCGUCAUGCUGCGCAUCGCCACGCGCUACCAGUAG
rnacentral:rRNA from 1 species